UACAGAGGUCCCAAGCGUUGUUCGGAUUCACUGGGCGUAAAGGGUGCGUAGGCGGUCGGGUAAGUCUGAUGUGAAAUCUCCAAGCUCAACUUGGAAAUGGCAUCGGAUACUAUUCGGCUCGAGGAAUGGAGGGGAGACUGGAAUACUUGGUGUAGCAGUGAAAUGCGUAGAUAUCAAGUGGAACACCAGUGGCGAAGGCGGCAUCCUGGACCGGUAUUGACGCUGAGUGAGCGAAAGCCAGGGAGCAAACGGG
rnacentral:rRNA from 1 species